AGGCAUUAAAAAACCUCCCUGGUCGUGGUUGAAUCUGUGUUUCUUGUAUUUCAGUGCUUUCAUUACAUUCUAUGCAUAUGGUGUGCUUGAGUGUCAUCAGGAGGAUGUUGAUUUUCCUUAAAACGAGGCUCUGAUCUCUAUUUGAGACUGAUUGCAAAUAGUUUGCCCGACAACCUCAGUCACUUGCAGAACUUGAACGAUGGAAGGCCACUGAGUACAGGCAGAUUUUGCUCUACACUGGUGCCAUAGUAUUGAAGGAUGUUGUUUCCAAAAGGGUCUAUCACCACUUUGUCCCUCAGUGUAGUAGCCAUGUCAAUUUUGAUGGAUUGAGAUGAUCAGAUGAGGCAUUACCUUGAUGAUGCCAAACAGAUGCUGAUGCACUUUUUUGAGCAAUAGUGUCUAUGGUGAUACAUUUUACAAUGUACAUGGUCUCACUCACUUGGCACAUGUUGCAUUUCACAACUGCUCACUCAAUUACCUUGAUUGCUUAGAGUUUGAGAACCAUUUGUGGUGGCUUAAACAUGCCACCAAAAGCCCACAUAAUCCAUUGGUACAAGGCGACUGUCUGAAUCACACCAAGUAAAACAUACUGCCAAGAACAACCAAGCAUACAACAAGAAUAACCUGCAAGAUGGUUGCUUCCUCCUCUAGGACAUUUGUCAAAGAAAUAAGAGACUAUGGAAACCUUGUCUGCGAUGUCAUUCACCAUACUCAAACGGACAACUUCAUUCUUCCAUGCGCUUCCAAAGACUCCAACACCGCAAGGAUGGCAAAUAUCCGCAAAUGCUAAAUAAACAUUAUUUAUCCCGAGGACCUAAUCAGCAAGGCUGUGUCUGCCCUAUCAUAGGCAAUUCAUAAUGAUCCCUCUGUUGCACAGUUUUGCCAAGUAAGAUCACAUCUAUUGGAGUAGUUUGGUUUACGAUUAUGGCUUGUAUUAUGUUGCAUAUUUGCCCUCAGAGGCUGUGGGCCAGAGCAGUGUGGAAGAGGAAGUAGGUGUUACUCCAGAGCACUGGAUCAAAGACCAAACUGUGUGAUGUCUCCUAAAUACAUAUGCAAGCAAUAAAGGAUUUGUCCACACCCUCUCUGAAAUGGAAGUCAUUCACGCUUCUGUCGCUACAACUGACAUCAGGCAACCCAAGCUCCAACCACAAUAUGCCUGAAGCACCAGGAAACCUGUGCCACCGCUACCAAGAAGCAAAAGGCUAAAACGCAGCAAAAGCCAUCAACUAAUGACGGUGAGGACAACCAUUCACACCAUAAGCCAACUCCCUUAUUCUUGAUCAUUGCAUUUGAGAAAGGUUUUCUAGUUGUAAAAACAAUUGGCAUGAUGUUGUCCAAUCUUUUGUUGCGGAUAAUCAUCUUGGUCUCUCACAUGGCUUAAUCCUGGAGCAUGAGGGCUCGAGGUAUCCUUCUGUUCUGCCUUCUUAAUUGAGGUAUCCCCCUCACCAAAUCACUGCAAAGGAUCAGACCCUUUUCCUGUAUGAAGUAUGAAACUCUCCAUUUAGAAUUUUGGUUUACAGUUUGGUAGUAAUUAGAUUUAGGUUGCCUUUUAGGUUGCCUUACAAAUGUGUGUAGAGAAAUGCUGGAUGUUUUACAUUUUAAUGUGUUGGAUUUUAAGGCCUACCCAAGCCCCCACUAAAAUCUACUCCGGCUCACCAGAACCUGUGCCAGUGCCACAAAGAAGCAAAAGGCGAAAUAUCCCUGCAAGCCACCAGGUAUUGGUGGUGAGUGGAAAUGGCAAACUAAAAUGCUACGAAAGCCACCAAGUAGUUAUAGUGAGGAGGACCCUUCACAACGAAAGCCAACACAAUUGGUAUUCUAGUUGUACCAAGAAUUGCCAUGAUGUUGUCCAAUUUUUUACUGCAGAGAAUCUUGAUCCUUCAUUCUCCAGGGAUCGGUCAUGUGGGAGACCGCGUUCUCCUUCUGCUUCUUCAGAUGAGAGAUGCCCCUCUCCAAAGCGCUGCAAAGGCUCAGACCCUUUUCCUAUGCCGGAAAAUGUUAUAUCUCGUUUGUGACAUCUGUGACUGGAAGAUUAUUAAAGAUGGAAGAGCAGCUAAGAAUGAUUUUUAAAAUAUAUGAUCUCUCAAAGCUGGGGGGGAGACAUCCCAGACUGGGUGAAGAGAGCAUUGCACCAGUAAACUAUUAUCAUAUGUUUCGCUUUUAAGUGAGGUCAUGGUGUGUUGCUUGUAAAGUACAUAUUUUGUGUUCUGACAAACGGCCUCAUGUAAACGUUCAAUAUGAAUGGAAAUAAAGGGAGGGCCUUCGACAACUCCAACUUUUACAUCGUCAUUAUAGGUACAGUGGAGUCCAAGUCAUGACAUUUGGAUAACUUCUCUAGCUUAUGUUUGUUUUCCCCCUUUACACCACAUGUGAGUCUUGGCUAAUCAAAGGCUAGUGGCAGGAAUACUACAGGCGACUUCAACCUGCCUGAAAUAUGUACCUUACCAUAAGGGGGGUAAGUGGGAGUGCUAAUGAGUAAGGGGUUGAAAGAGUUCUUAAGAAGUUAAAAGCAUCAAAGUUCAGACUGUGCCUGUUUUUGGUUUAUUGUGUGUGUGUAUAUAUAUAUAUUUGCAUUUCCAGAAGCCUGUGCCAGAAAUAAUUUGAGCUUUUUUAUUUGAAAAAAAGUGGCUUGUACAUCUAUUUUGGGGUGCAAUAAAUUAAUUUAAACCGUUCUUGACUUUAACAAAAAUAAAUAGCGUAACAGUUUUUACAUGGAUAAAAGGUUUACACAAUGCUGUUCCAAGUUACUGCUCUCAUUGUGUUACACGGAAUGACAACAGCCAACAGUAGUAUAGACCCUAUGUCUGGAAGAUUUUUGUUGCACCAUGAAUAGAAUUGUAGUAUACAUAUCAGGGUUCUUUUCAAGAGAGUGCAACAUCAGAAUGAUCCUGGUUGAUGCAGUUUGUUGUCCUAUUCUUAGCUCGCGCUCUUAUCCUUAUGUAAUGUAAAGAAGCCUACAUCACAAAAUGGCAAUUACUCCUAAACAUCUAAUCAACACUCUUCAUGGAUUGGUGAUCAUCUCUGAAUUCAGGGUGUUUUCAGAUCAAAAUGUGCUCUCUACCUCACUCCAAUUCUUUACAGUCCCAGCCUCUCAUAGCCUCUCCCGCUGGCUGCCCUCAUGUAGCUCCAUGAAUCAGACAACUAAGAGAAGACAGACAGGGGUCUUUCUCUCGCUCUCUCUCAUAUUCAUUGAUUACAGCCCGAUGGAUACCUGUAGUGUGCUGAAGAGGGAGCCGAAUUCAAUUAGCUUGCCCCGCUAGUCAGAAAUAUGUAGCAUAUAGUGGGGGGGGCUCAGAUAAGAGUAAUUUGAUUGCUAUAGACAUUGACAACUAUGUGUGUUUCAAAUGGGCAGAAGACCGUGUGUUAUGGUUCUGGAUGGCCAGAUGGCUGGCAACAAUGACAAGAAACUGCCCUGUGGUGAAUCGUAAGUGUCUUGUUUCAGCUUGCUUGAUCUUGUUCUUGAUGCCAUGUCUUGUUUUGAUUGACAACACAUCUAUGCAAAUAUGGCUAAGAUUUUCUAGCUAGCUAGCUAACAAACCAACAACUGUAACAAUGUAUUGGAGAAACAAGUGCCCGUUUUGCAACUUUGUUUUCAAUAAACGUCAGAUACCAAAUAUAGUUGACAUGUUAUUAACUAAGCCAACCCAGCCUGUUUUGCCCCAUAGUUGCUCACGCGACGGUUUU